rnacentral:rRNA from 1 species
AUUGAACGCUGGCGGCAUGCCUCACACGUGCAAGUCGAACGGCAGCACGGGUGCUUGCACCUGGUGGCGAGUGGCGAACGGGUGAGUAAUACAUCGGAACGUACCUUAUCGUGGGGGAUAACGCAGCGAAAGCUGUGCUAAUACCGCAUACGCCCUGAGGGGGAAAGCGGGGGAUCGAAAGACCUCGCGCGAUUAGAGCGGCCGAUGCCUGAUUAGCUUGUUGGUGGGGUAAAAGCCCACCAAGGCGACGAUCAGUAGCUGGUCUGAGAGGACGAUCAGCCACACUGGGACUGAGACACGGCCCAGACUCCUACGGGAGGCAGCAGUGGGGAAUUUUGGACAAUGGGGGCAACCCUGAUCCAGCAAUGCCGCGUGAGUGAAGAAGGCCUUCGGGUUGUAAAGCUCUUUUGUCAGGGAAGAAACACCGGCUCUAACACAGUCCGGGAAUGACGGUACCUGAAGAAUAAGCACCGGCUAACUACGUGCCAGCCGCCGCAGUAA